AGUGAACGCUGGCGGUAGGCCUAACACAUGCAAGUCGAACGGCAGCACAGUAAGAGCUUGCUCUUACGGGUGGCGAGUGGCGGACGGGUGAGGAAUACAUCGGAAUCUACUUUUUCGUGGGGGAUAACGUAGGGAAACUUACGCUAAUACCGCAUACGACCUACGGGUGAAAGCAGGGGAUCUUCGGACCUUGCGCGAUUGAAUGAGCCGAUGUCGGAUUAGCUAGUUGGCGGGGUAAAGGCCCACCAAGGCGACGAUCCGUAGCUGGUCUGAGAGGAUGAUCAGCCACACUGGAACUGAGACACGGUCCAGACUCCUGCGGGAGGCAGCAGUGGGGAAUAUUGGGCAAUGGGCGCAAGCCUGAUCCAGCCAUACCGCGUGGGUGAAGAAGGCCUUCGGGUUGUAAAGCCCUUUUGUUGGGAAAGAAAAGCAGCAGGUUAAUACCCCGCUGUUCUGACGGUACCCAAAGAAUAAGCACCGGCUAACUUCGUG
rnacentral:rRNA from 1 species